rnacentral:rRNA from 1 species
UAUAUUAUUAAUCCCAGAUAACAUUAGCCAACUCCUAGAUUUAAUACUGGACUAUUCUAUUACUAAAUAGAAGCAAUAAGGUUAAUAUGAGUAACAAGAAAUAUUUUCUCCUCGCACAAGUUUAAGUCAGUAACUGAUAAAACCCUGACCGUUAACAGUAAAUAAAAAUAACCCAACAAUAAAUGAUUUAUUACUUAUACUGUUAACCCAACACAGGAGUGCACCCAGGAAAGAUUCAAAGAAGUAAAAGGAACUCGGCAAACACUAAACCCCGCCUGUUUACCAAAAACAUCACCUCCAGCAUCCCUAGUAUUGGAGGCACUGCCUGCCCAGUGACUAAACGUUAAACGGCCGCGGUAUUCUGACCGUGCAAAGGUAGCAUAAUCAUUUGUUCUCUAAAUAAGGACUUGUAUGAAUGGCCACACGAGGGUUUUACUGUCUCUUACUUCCAAUCAGUGAAAUUGACCUCCCCGUGAAGAGGCG